CCUACGGGAGGCAGCAGUGGGGGAUAUUGCACAAUGGGGGGAACCCUGAUGCAGCGACGCCGCGUGGGUGAAGAAGCGCCUCGGCGCGUAAAGCCCUGUCAGCAGGGAAGAAAAUGACGGUACCUGAAGAAGAAGCCCCGGCUAACUACGUGCCAGCAGCCGCGGUAAUACGUAGGGUGCAAGCGUUAUCCGGAUUUACUGGGUGUAAAGGGGGCGCAGACGGCGCUGCAAGCCAGGUGUGAAAGGCCGGGGCCCAACCCCGGGACUGCUCUUGGAACUGCGUGGCUAGAGUGCAGGAGGGGCAGGCGGAAUUCCUGGUGUAGCGGUGAAAUGCGUAGAUAUCAGGAGGAACACCGGUGGCGAAGGCGGCCUGCUGGACUGCAACUGACGUUGAGGCCCGAAAGCGUGGGGAGCAAACAGGAUUAGAUACCCGAGUAGUC
rnacentral:rRNA from 1 species